CCUCAGUGACCGAUAGUGCACCAGUACCGUGAGGGAAAGGUGAAAAGCACCCCGAUGAGGGGAGUGAAAUAGUAUCUGAAACUGAAUGCCUACAAGCAGUCGGAGCACCGCAAGGUGUGACGGCGUACCUCUUGUAUAAUGGGUCAGCGACUUAGUCUCACGAGCAAGCUUAAGCCGAUAGGUGUAGGCGCAGCGAAAGCGAGUCUGAAUAGGGCGAUUGAGUUCGUGGGAUUAGACCCGAAACCGGGUGAUCUAGUCAUGGGCAGGUUGAAGGUGAGGUAACACUUACUGGAGGACCGCACGCGUAACCGUUGAAAAGGUUUGCGAUGACCUGUGAUUAGGGGUGAAAGGCCAAUCAAACUCGGAAAUAGCUGGUUCUCCGCGAAAGCUAUUUAGGUAGCGCGUCGAACGUUCACCGACGGGGGUAGAGCACUGGAUGGGCUAGGGGGGAGCGAUCCUUACCAAACCUAACCAAACUCCGAAUACCGUCGGGUCAGAGUUCGGCAGACAGACUGCGGGUGCUAAGGUCCGUGGUCGAGAGGGGAAGAGCCCAGACCGUCAUCUAAGGUCCCCAAGUUAUGGCUAAGUGGGAAAGGAUGUAGGAAGGCCAAGACAGCCAGGAGGUUGGCUUAGAAGCAGCCAUCCUUUAAAGAAAGCGUAAUAGCUCACUGGUCUAGUUAAGCCGUCCCGCGCCGAAAAUGUCACGGGGCUAAAGCCAUACACCGAAGAUGCGGGAUUGAAGGAUCCGCUGGAUUCUUUGAUCGGUAGCGGAGCGUUCCGCAAGCCUGUGAAGGUGUGGUGCGAGCCAUGCUGGAGGUAACGGAAGCGAGAAUGCUGACAUGAGUAGCGACAAACAGUGUGAGAGACACUGUCGCCGAAAGCCCAAGGGUUCCUGCGCAAGGUUAAUCCGCGCAGGGUGAGCCGGCCCCUAAGACGAGGGCGAGAGCCGUAGUCGAUGGGAACAGGGUUAAUAUUCCCUGGCCUGCUGGUGGUGACGAAGGCCGUAAGUGAUUCCCGCUUAUUGGAUUGCGGGGGUAGCGAAGGACUUCCAGGAAAUAGCCCCAGCGUUAGACCGUACCCUAAACCGACACAGGUGGGCUGGUAGAGUAUACCAAGGCGCUUGAGAGAAUGGUGUUGAAGGAACUCGGCAAAUUGCCCUCGUAACUUCGGAAGAAGAGGGCCUCACUCAUGGGCAACCAUGGAUGAGGGGCACAGACCAGGGGGUGGCGACUGUUUAACAAAAACACAGGGCUCUGCUAAGUCGAUAAGACGACGUAUAGGGUCUGACGCCUGCCCGGUGCCGGAAGGUUAAGAGGAGGGGUGCAAGCUCUGAAUCGAAGCCCCGGUAAACGGCGGCCGUAACUAUAACGGUCCUAAGGUAGCGAAAUUCCUUGUCGGGUAAGUUCCGACCUGCACGAAUGGCGUAACGACUUCCCCGCUGUCUCCAACACCAACUCAGCGAAAUUGAAUUCUCCGUGAAGAUGCGGAGUACCCGCGGUUAGACGGAAAGACCCCAUGCACCUUUACUAUAGCUUUGCAGUGGUAUUAGGGAACGGAUGUGUAGGAUAGGUGGGAGCCUAUGAAGCGCCGGCGCCAGCCGGAGUGGAGGCACCCUUGAAAUACCACCCUUCGGUUCUCUGAUAUCUAACCGCGUCUGGUGAAACCCGGACCGGGACCCUGCAUGGUGGGUAGUUUGACUGGGGCGGUCGCCUCCCAAAGAGUAA
rnacentral:rRNA from 1 species